rnacentral:rRNA from 1 species
UACGUAGGGCGCAAGCGUUGUCCGGAAUUAUUGGGCGUAAAGAGCUCGUAGGCGGCUUGUCACGUCGGGUGUGAAAGACCGGGGCUUAACCCCGGUUCUGCAUUCGAUACGGGCUGGCUAGAGUGUGGUAGGGGAGAUCGGAAUUCCUGGUGUAGCGGUGAAAUGCGCAGAUAUCAGGAGGAACACCAGUGGCGAAGGCGGCUCACUGGCCCGGUACUGACGCUGAGGCGCGAAAGCGUGGGGAGCAAACAGG